GUCGCACGAGUUCAUACUCGUGGCAUAUAGCUCAGUAACACGUGGCCAAACUACCCUAUGGACAGAGAUACUCUCGGGAAACUGAGGCUAAUCUCUGAUACAGCUUCUACGUUGGAAUUGCAGGAAGCUGGAAACGUUCCGGCGCCAUAGGAUGUGGCUGCGGCCGAUUAGGUAGACGGCGGGGUAACGGCCCACCGUGCCAGUAAUCGGCACGGGUGAUGAGAGUCAGAGCCCGGAGACGGUAUCUGAGACAAGAUACCGGGCCCUACGGGGCGCAGCAGGCGCGAAACCUUUACACUGCACGACAGUGCGAUAGGGGGACUCCGAGUGCGAGGGCAUAUAGUCCUCGCUUUUCUGUACCGUAAGGUGGUACAGGAACAAGUGCUGGGCAAGACCGGUGCCAGCCGCCGCGGUAAUACCGGCAGCACAAGUGAUGGCCGAUAUUAUUGGGCCUAAAGCGUUCGUAGCCGGCCGGACAAGUUCGUUGGGAAAUCCACGCGCUCAACGCGUGGGCGUCCAGCGAAAACUGUCUGGCUUGGGGCCGGAAGACUCGAGGGGUACGUCCGGGGUAGGAGUGAAAUCCCGUAAUCCUGGGCGGACCGCCGGUGGCGAAAGCGCCUCGAGAGGACGGACCCGACGGUGAGGGACGAAAGCCAGGGUCUCGAACCGGAUUAGAUACCCGGGUAGUCCUGGCCGUAAACGAUGUUCGCUAGGUGUGGCGCAGGCUACGAGCCUGCGCUGUGCCGUAGGAAGCCGUGAAGCGAACCGCCUGGGAAGUACGUCUGCAAGGAUGAAACUUUAAAGGAAUUG
rnacentral:rRNA from 1 species